CCUCCAGCGAACGAGCGAGCUAACGCAAUCAGCGAGUGAAUCGCGCGAAGUAGAAGCAUCUGUCUGAUCGCAAGUCGAAGGGAAAGCUGCCUGACCGCGAGCGAAGGCAUGUCAGCAAGCACGAGCGAGCCCGGUCGGCGAUUCGACCGAAAAGAAGUCCGGUGCCAGCGAGUGAGCGAGCCAUGCCAACGCGUGAGUUGAAGUCCGGCCACUGACCGCGAGCGAGCCCUGGCGGCGAUAGGGCGGCGAUCGACCGAGAAAGAGGGAUUGGAAGAGAGCGAGCAUGCGAGAGCGAGAAAUGGGGAGCGAGCGAGGUCACCUCAGAUCAGCAGCACUCCACGCCUAGCUUCCAGUUCAAAUCUACUCCCUAACCUCUUUGUUAACUUGAUCGAAGGACCUCGAGUGAGACCUCGGCUCCACGCCUCCCAGUG
rnacentral:lncRNA from 1 species